UCCAAGUGAAGCAGAGGACAGUGGCGGACGGGUGAGUAACGCGUGAGGAACCUGCCUUUCAGAGGGGGACAACAGUUGGAAACGACUGCUAAUACCGCAUGACGCAUGACCGGGGCAUCCCGGGCAUGUCAAAGAUUUUAUCGCUGGAAGAUGGCCUCGCGUCUGAUUAGCUAGAUGGUGGGGUAACGGCCCACCAUGGCGACGAUCAGUAGCCGGACUGAGAGGUUGACCGGCCACAUUGGGACUGAGAUACGGCCCAGACUCC
rnacentral:rRNA from 1 species